rnacentral:rRNA from 1 species
UACGAAGGGGGGCUAGCGUUGCUCGGAAUGACUGGGCGUAAAGGGCGCGUAGGCGGAUGGCACAGUCAGAUGUGAAAUUCCCGGGCUUAACCUGGGGGCUGCAUUUGAUACGUGUUGUCUUGAGUUCGGAAGAGGGUCGUGGAAUUCCCAGUGUAGAGGUGAAAUUCGUAGAUAUUCGGAGGAACACCAGUGGCGAAGGCGGCUCACUGGUCCAUUACUGACGCUGAGGAGCGAAAGCGUGGGGAGCGAACAGG